UCCCAAAUAAAAAAAAGGAAACAAAUGAAAAAAAGAAAAAAGAAAACAAAAAGGCAAGGAAGAAGGACAUAAACUUCUGAUGGCUGCUCUUCUUUGAUCUACACGAUGACUUUGACAAAACUAGCGAUUUGAGGAGAGCCUUACCUCUCGAUGACGGCAGAGAUGAGACAAUAUCAAGUUUGAGCGAUAUCCACAUGGGCGCUCAAACUCUCACAAACACCAUGGAUUCAACUCAUUGAAGACUUCUUCAACUUGACACCAAUUAUCACAAACGUAUCUCAAGAUUGAACCCCAAGGAGUUGAUACCACUGCAACAAACCCAUGAAACUACCAAGACCGCAAUACGGGACAGAUGAUUGGAACAGGACAUGAAU